CUGCUGCAUUACUGCAACGAAACGCUUACGUCCUACGGGAACGCGUGUGAUGAGGGAGAUACCCGUGAAUGUGUGGGUAGCAGACGUGGCCGUAGAGCAUCUUCCGCAGGUACCUGGCAUCAACGUAAAGAGCGCCAUCUUUGACGUAGCAUUUUCGCAGGGAGAUGCUCCAGAAUGGGUGCCGGGUAGCCUCGCGCACGAAGAGGUCAUAGUUGCUGCCAAUGCUCGC